rnacentral:rRNA from 1 species
GGAGUUAGCCGGUGCUUCUUCUGUGAGUGAUGUCCUUCCUGCCGGUUAUUGACCCGCAGGCCUUCUUCCUCACUGAAAGUGCUUUACAACCCGAAGGCCUUCUUCACACACGCGGCAUGGCUGGAUCAGGGUUGCCCCCAUUGUCCAAUAUUCCCCACUGCUGCCUCCCGUAGGAGUCUGGGCCGUGUCUCAGUCCCAGUGUGGCUGAUCAUCCUCUCAGACCAGCUACGGAUCGUCGCCUUGGUGAGCCGUUACCUCACCAACCAGCUAAUCCGACAUAGGCUCAUCCGAUAGCGCGAGGCCCGAAGGUCCCCCGCUUUCCCCCGUAGGGCGUAUGCGGUAUUAGCCUGGGUUUCCCCAGGUUAUCCCCCACUACCGGGCAGAUUCCUAUGCAUUACUCACCCGUCCGCCGCUCGCCACCAGGGAGCAAGCUCCCCGUGCUGCCGCUCGACUUGCAUGUGUUAGGCCUGCCGCCAGCGCUCAAUCUGAGCCAUGAUCAAACUCUGA